rnacentral:rRNA from 1 species
AGAGUUUGAUCAUGGCUCAGAGCGAACGCUGGCGGCAGGCCUAACACAUGCAAGUCGAACGAACUCUUCGGAGUUAGUGGCGGACGGGUGAGUAACACGUGGGAACGUGCCUUUAGGUUCGGAAUAACUCAGGGAAACUUGUGCUAAUACCGAAUGUGCCCUUCGGGGGAAGGAUUUAUCGCCUUUAGAGCGGCCCGCGUCUGAUUAGCUAGUUGGUGAGGUAAAGGCUCACCAAGGCGACGAUCAGUAGCUGGUCUGAGAGGAUGAUCAGCCACAUUGGGACUGAGACACGGCCCAAACUCCUACGGGAGGCAGCAGUGGGGAAUCUUGCGCAAUGGGCGAAAGCCUGACGCAGCCAUGCCGCGUGAAUGAUGAAGGUCUUAGGAUUGUAAAAUUCUUUCACCGGGGACGAUAAUGACGGUACCCGGAGAAGAAGCCCCGGCUAACUUCGUGCCAGCAGCCGCGGUAAUACGAAGGGGGCUAGCGUUGCUCGGAAUUACUGGGCGUAAAGGGAGCGUAGGCGGACAUUUAAGUCAGGGGUGAAAUCCCGGGGCUCAACCUCGGAAUUGCCUUUGAUACUGGGUGUCUUGAGUAUGAGAGAGGUGUGUGGAACUCCGAGUGUAGAGGUGAAAUUCGUAGAUAUUCGGAAGAACACCAGUGGCGAAGGCGACACACUGGCUCAUUACUGACGCUGAGGCUCGAAAGCGUGGGGAGCAAACAGGAUUAGAUACCCUGGUAGUCCACGCCGUAAACGAUGAUUGCUAGUUGUCGGGAUGCAUGCAUUUCGGUGACGCAGCUAACGCAUUAAGCAAUCCGCCUGGGGAGUACGGUCGCAAGAUUAAAACUCAAAUGAAUUGACGG